GGGGCUGAUUCUGGUUUCGACUUCGUCUAUUAAGCCAGGGGAAGCGUGCCGGUGCAGGCUGAUGACCACCGUAAGCGUCGCAGCAAACCAAUAAGCGCCGAGAAUACUCAGCGCGACUACGCCCUCGCUGCCUAAUCCAGCGACCGCGUGUCUGUCAGCCCGGGGUUGUUCCCGCUCCGGAUCCUGGCAUCGACUAGGGAACUUGCCGUUUCAGUGCGUUAGCGGGCUGAAACGGGACACCUUACCGUUAUCUGGGCCCGUCAUCCGGACACGUUCGCCUGAGCCGGAGGGCCGAGCAGAGACCGAUGCGCGAACUGCGCACGGAGAAGCCCUGGCGAGGUAACGAAGGACCCGGGUUCAAUUCCCGGCAGCUCCACCA
rnacentral:tmRNA from 1 species